GCUUCUUUCUGUCCUGUGUUUCAGUGGGAAGGCAGGGCUGCCUGAGGUUUUGGUGGGCUCAGGCAGCUUGUCCUGGAUUUCUGUAGGAAGAAGCUAGAGAGGAUCUCAUCUCCUUACAUCACAGCUAUGUAAAUACAGAAAAGCCAUCUUGACUCUUGUCCCUGACCUCCCAGGGGCCCUCUGUGCUCCCAAAAGCAGCACUUCCAGACUGUGGUAGAUGGGCUCAUUGAGAGGAGUAUGUCAGAAAGCCAGGAGAAACAAUUCCCCUUCCAAGUGCCCUGCUGCACUGCUAAAUCCUGCUGGAGACUCUGAUGCUCCUGCUCUGAGACACUGGAGCUGCUCUUGUGUAAGGAUACACAGGGUACCCACAAACCUGGAGUUACAGUGCCACUCCAACAGUGUGUGCUGGGAUCUUGCCUUUAAAGGGCAGAAAAUGCAUUUUCAGAAAAAAACUUUUCCCCCCUCCCCAUAUAUUUUUACAUUUGCACAUGAUCAGGGCUUUGUUCUCAAUUUCAGUUAUUGAGGAUUCUUGCAGCCCUUGUUAGGACUUUGCUUCUGGGACUUUGUUUGUUUUUAACUUUUCCAUGUAUGGAAAAGACAAGCAGAAAACUUAAGUAAAGCACAAAGGUGGAAAAGGGACCAAAGAAGUAAAGCUGAUGCAUCAUGUGGUGACAUAGGUGACUCUCUAAGGCAAAAGGGAAAGGUUUUGCAAUAUCUCCUGAGCCUCAAGCAGCCUUUUGCAUAAGUUGUGUGGCUGUUUUCUCAAUCUGCUCUGAAAAUGUCUAUUCAGAACUCCCCAAGAGUGGUAUUUUUCAAAAUACCAUAAAAAGGUGGGUGCUAAAGGCACAGCAGAGCUCAAGAACAGUGCCCAUCAUAAAAAUCAUAUCUCCUCCAGAAAAACUGCCUUUCUCCUUAGAAGCUCACUAGACUGCAACAUACUUCAGUUUUCAAUGAGCCUGAAACUUUGUCAGCAACUUGUUUUGUGGGAAUUGUGCUUUAAAAAUGCUGUCAGAGGUUGGAUUUUCAUUUGAGAGAAUAAAAUAUUUGGGGCUGUUUGAGUUGGUGCUGCCCUCCAGAUGGGACACACUAAGAGGCUGACUUAAAGGAGAUACUCUUUUCUAGGGUGUUAAACUUUGAGAAAUAACCUGUUGACAAAAUGAAUUGAUCUUUGAUAUAGAUAAUAAAUUGCUGGGGGAAGCACUGAGGCCAUGGCUGGAUGUCCUCGUGGUAACAGAAGGCUGGAGAUGGCCUAGAUUUUAAGAAUUAGUUAAGGAAGACUAAAUUGAAGAGUACCAAGAGAAGACAGUUUGCCAAUGGUACAGAGUUAUUUGGGGUAAUAAAAUCAGGCUGGUUUGUAGGAAGACCUUGAAUUGCUGAUUGAAUGCAUGAUCUAAUGAGUGAUACAUUUUAUACAGAUAAAAAUCAGGCAAUGCAUACAGAAAAAAUCCCUCAUCCUUCUGUAAUAACAGGCCCUGAGUUGACUACUCAGAAAACAUCGUGGGUGUGUGGUAAAAUAUCAAUGUAGUGUUCAGCAGUAUUUGCCUCCUAAAAGUAAAUUGUAUCUUAGAGAUUAUAAGGAAAUCGUUACGAAGUUGUGCUAUUGUUUACACCCCAAAUUGAUCCAUAUUUAUGUGCAAUUCCUAGUGUACUGUAAAAUUUAGUGAGAACUGGAAAAGCUAUGGAAGAACAGCAAGAUUAACAAAGGAAUGAAGUGGCUGCUGGGGGCAGAGCAUCUGAGUGGAAGGGACUGUGUUCUGGCAGAAGGAGUAAGGUGAAGGGGAUGUGAAGUGCUGUAAUAUCAGCAGUUGAAUGGAGAAGGGGAGCACGAAAUGCUUACUCAGAGUUUGAAGCAAUUACUCAGGGUUUCUUCCAGUGCAGGAUCUCCAUAUAAGGUGGAAUUUUCCAGAGGUAGGAGUGGCACAAGCAGGAGGUGCUGCUGACUGUCCCACCUCAGAUCACCAUGCCAUUGGUAAUGCUUCCUGCCCAGUCAUGGAAAUGUGAAGAAGAAAUGAGCCAUCAGCCUUGUAUAGGACUGAAGAAGAGCAGGAUCACAGCUGUAGGAAGAACUGUGGAUGGCACCAGCAAUAAAAAGAACAUCCUUUCCCCUUCCCUGCAAGUGAUGCCCCAGUCAAUCUGCAGCUGCUCUGAGGCAAAGCUUGUAGCCUGAUUUUCCUGCUGGAUUGUUACUGAAAGAAGUCCAGAGGAAGGAGAGUGCUGUAUGGAGAGCAUCUGUACCACUGCUUUUCACAGCAAGGGGCUGUGCAGGUUUGGGCUGUGGCUCAAGGAUGUAACCUGCCCUCAGUUUUCCAGUCUUGUGGCACAGCGAAGUCUCCCUGGGAGGAGGUGGGUCACUGUGGGUGUUGGGAGUUCCCUGCUUUCAGCAGCACCUUCCCACGACUGCCUGCUCAGAGGUUUGGGGUUUUUCUUUGUAACCUCUACACACAGCAAGAAUAAUAACACCAAAGCAGCCACGUGAAAAACCACUUGAGAAGAGACCUGCUGCUGUGGCACUGCCAGCACAGGUCACAGCUGGAGCCCUGUCCAUGGUUAGGGAUGCUUAGGGAGCAGGUGAAGCAUGGAAAGGGACUCACCAGGGGCUGCCAGCCAUAGGAGCAACCUCCAAAUGGAAUUGGCCCUUGCCUGCCUUCCCCAGUCCUUGCCUCACCACAGAGCAGAAUCUUCCCCGGCCCCUCCUACGCAGGGCUCCCCUGUGAGGUUCUUUGAGGGUGGCUCCGCGUUUCUGCCAUGACUUUUCUUCGCGGAAUUUUUUUUUUUUUUUUUUUUUUUACGUGGGGCAGAGCGAACUUUGGCAUGUGUUCAAGAGAAUAAUAAAGAUAAGAAUGAGCAGUGCCUUUGAACAGCAAGGAGACAAGAUUUAAAAGCUAUUGACUGUAGUUCAGCAGUGUGCUGAUACAGAUUGGGCUGUUAUUUACAAUCAGGUCUGUGUUUUCUUUUCAGUAAUGAGGAACAAUAAGGGCUGCUCCAUUUGUGGGGCUUCUUGUGGUUUCUUUUUUAAGGCACCAAGACUCUGGAAUGCUGACAGAGAAUCUAAUAAUAAUAAAGGCCAAAAUACAUGAUGUUUUAGGCCAGACUUCUGGCUAUUGGCUGUGUCUUGGGGUUUGUUUAGAUGUUUUAGGAGGCAUUGGCUUUGAGACAGACAUUUUUUAAUAAAAACAAAAGUUGUA